UACGUAGGGUGCGAGCGUUGUCCGGAAUUACUGGGCGUAAAGAGCUCGUAGGUGGUUUGUCGCGUUGUCCGUGAAAACUCACAGCUUAACUGUGGGCGUGCGGGCGAUACGGGCAGACUGGAGUACUGCAGGGGAGACUGGAAUUCCUGGUGUAGCGGUGGAAUGCGCAGAUAUCAGGAGGAACACCAGUGGCGAAGGCGGGUCUCUGGGCAGUAACUGACGCUGAGGCGCGAAAGCGUGGGGAGCAAACAGG
rnacentral:rRNA from 1 species